CCUACGGGGGGCAGCAGUAGGGAAUCUUCCACAAUGGACGAAAGUCUGAUGGAGCAACGCCGCGUGAGUGAAGAAGGGUUUCGGCUCGUAAAACCCUGUUGGUAGUGAAGAAAGAGAGAGGGAGUAACUGGCCAUUAUUUGACGGUAAUUAAUUAGAAAGUCACGGCUAACUACGUGCCAGCAGCCGCGGUAAUACGUAGGUGGCAAGCGUUAUCCGGAUUUAUUGGGCGUAAAGGGAAUGCAGGCGG
rnacentral:rRNA from 1 species